AAUAUUGGUCGAUGGAGGCAACUCUGACCCAGCCAUGCCGCGUGCAGGAUGACUGCCCUAUGGGUUGUAAACUGCUUUUGUCCAGGAAUAAACCUAAAUACGUGUAUUUAGCUGAAUGUACUGGAAGAAUAGGGAUCUGCUACCUCCGUGCCAGCAGCCGCGGUAAUACGGAGGAUCCGAGCGUUAUCGGGAUUUAUUGGGUUUAAAGGGUGCGUAGGCGGCCCGUUAAGUCAGGGGUGAAAGACGGCAGCUCAACUGUCGCAGUGCCUUUGAUACUGACGGGCUUGAAUGCGGAUGAGGUAGGCGGAAUGAGACAAGUAGCGGUGAAAUGCAUAGAUAUGUCUCAGAACUCCGAUUGCGAAGGCAGCUUACUAAGCCGUGAUUGACGCUGAUGCACGAAAGCGUGGGGAUCAAACA
rnacentral:rRNA from 1 species